UACGGAGGAUGCGAGCGUUAUCCGGACUUAUUGGGCUUAAAGGGUGCGUAGGCGGGCUGUUAAGUCAGCGGUAAAAGCCCGGGGCUCAACCCCGGCGAGCCGUUGAAACUGGCUGUCUUGAGAUGUCGAGAGGUAUGCGGAAUGCGCAGUGUAGCGGUGAAAUGCUUAGAUAUUGCGCAGAACUCCGAUUGCGAAGGCAGCAUACCGGCGGCGAUCUGACGCUGAGGCACGAAAGCGUGGGUAUCGAACAGG
rnacentral:rRNA from 1 species